AAUAUCGCGCCGGUAUGAACGGAUAGCUAUGAUGAAGCUAGGCAUGAGAGUUACUCUCCGAUAUUU
rnacentral:tRNA from 1 species